rnacentral:rRNA from 1 species
GACAGAGGUGCCGAGCGUUAGGCGGAAUCACUGGGCUUAAAGCGUGUGUAGGCGGAUCGUUAAGUACCUUGUGAAAUCCCCCCGGCUCAACCGGGGAACUGCUGGGUAUACUGGCGAUCUUGAGCGAUCUAGGGGGCAGAUGGAACAAGUGGUGGAGCGGUGAAAUGCGUAGAUAUCACUUGGAACGCCAAUGGUGAAAACAGGUAGCUGGGAGUGUGCUGACACUGAGACACGAAAGCCAGGGGAGCGAACGGG